rnacentral:sRNA from 1 species
UCCUAGCCCCGAUAGCAGUGGAAAUCCUUUUCUUUUUUUCUUUAAAAAAGAAAAGAUUACUUCACUUUG